GACGAACGCUGGCGGCGUGCUUAACACACGCAAGUCGAGCGGAAAGGCCACUUCGGUGGUACUCGAGCGGCGAACGGGUGAGUAACACGUGAGUAAUCUGCCCCUGGCUUUGGGAUAGCCACCGGAAACGGUGAUUAAUACCGGAUACGACCACUUCUCGCAUGGGAUGGUGGUGGAAAGUUUCUUCGGCCAGGGAUGUGCUCGCGGCCUAUCAGCUUGAUUGUGGGGUAAUGGCUCACCAUGGCUUCGACGGGUAGCCGGCCUGAGAGGGUGACCGGUCACACUGGGACUGAGACACGGCCCAGACUCCUACGGGAGGCAGCAGUGGGGAAUAUUGGACAAUGGGCGGAAGCCUGAUCCAGCAACGCCGCGUGAGGGAUGACGGCCUUCGGGUUGUAAACCUCUUUCAGCAGGGACGAAGCGCAAGUGACGGUACCUGCAGAAGAAGCACCGGCCAACUACGUGCCAGCCGCCGCCGUAA
rnacentral:rRNA from 1 species